UGGGGAAUAUUGCACAAUGGGCGCAAGCCUGAUGCAGCCAUGCCGCGUGUAUGAAGAAGGCCUUCGGGUUGUAAAGUACUUUCAGCGGGGAGGAAGGCGAUAAGGUUAAUAACCUUGUCGAUUGACGUUACCCGCAGAAGAAGCACCGGCUAACUCCGUGCCAGCAGCCGCGGUAAUACGGAGGGUGCAAGCGUUAAUCGGAAUUACUGGGUGUAAAGCGCACGCAGGCGGUCUGUCAAGUCGGAUGUGAAAUCCCCGGGCUCAACCUGGGAACUGCAUUCGAAACUGGCAGGCUAGAGUCUUGUAGAGGGGGGUAGAAUUCCAGGUGUAGCGGUGAAAUGCGUAGAGAUCUGGAGGAAUACCGGUGGCGAAGGCGGCCCCCUGGACAAAGACUGACGCUCAGGUGCGAAAGCGUGGGGAGCAAACA
rnacentral:rRNA from 1 species